rnacentral:tRNA from 1 species
GCCUCGAUAGCACAGUAGGCAGCGCGCGAGUCUCAUAAUCUCGAGGUCGUGAAUUCGAACCUCACUCGGGGCA